rnacentral:misc_RNA from 1 species
UCCGGUUUGGCACCGGCAGUCUCUCUAGAGUUGUCAGAGGAUGUCAAGACCUGGUAAGGUUCUUCGCGUUGCUUCGAAUUAAACCACAUGCUCCACCGCUUGUGCGGGCCCCCGUCAAUUCCUUUGAGUUUCAACCUUGCGGUCGUACUCCCCAGGCGGGGUACUUCCUGCGUUAGCGCCGGCACCCAGAGGGUCGCUCCCCCAGGCACCUAGUACCCAUCGUUUACGGCGUGGACUAC